rnacentral:rRNA from 1 species
GGACUACUGGGGUAUCUAAUCCUGUUCGCUACCCACGCUUUCGCUUCUCAGCGUCAGUUACUGCCCAGAGACCCGCCUUCGCCACCGGUGUUCCUCCUGAUAUCUGCGCAUUUCACCGCUACACCAGGAAUUCCAGUCUCCCCUGCAGUACUCUAGUCCGCCCGUAUCGCCCGCAAGCUAACAGUUGAGCUGCCAGUUUUCACGAGCGACGCGACGAACCGCCUACAAGCUCUUUACGCCCAGUAAUUCCGGACAACGCUCGCACCCUACGUAUUACCGCGGCUGCUGGCAC